AACGAAAGCUGGCGGCAGUCCUAACACAUGCAAGUCGAGCGAGAUCUUCGGGUCUAGCGGCACGGGUGAGUAACGCGCGGGAAUAUGCCUCUUGGUACGGAAUCGCCUCGGGAAACUGGGAGUAAUACCGUAUGUGCCCUUUGGGGGAAAGAUUUAUCGCCAAGAGAUUAGCCCGCGUUGGAUUAGGUAGUUGGUGGGGUAAUGGCCUAGCAAGCCGACGCUCCAUAGCUGGUUUGAGAGGAUGAUCAGCCACACUGGGACUGAGACACGGCCCAGACUCCUACGGGGGGCAGCAGUGGGGAAACUUAGACAAUGGGGGCAACCCUGAUCUAGCCAUGGCGCGUGAGUGAUGAAGGCCUUAGGGUUGUAAAGCUCUUUCAGCUGGGAAGAUAGUGACGGUACCAGCAGAAGAAGCCCCGGCUAACUCCGUGCCAGCAGCCGCGGUAA
rnacentral:rRNA from 1 species